GACGAACGCUGGCGGCGUGCUUAACACAUGCAAGUCGAACGGAAAGGCCCUGCUUGCAGGGUACUCGAGUGGCGAACGGGUGAGUAACACGUGGGUGAUCUGCCCUGCACUUCGGGAUAAGCCUGGGAAACUGGGUCUAAUACCGGAGAGGAGCCAUUUUUAGUGUGAUGGUUGGAAAGUUUUUUCGGUGUAGGAUGAGCUCGCGGCCUAUCAGCUUGUUGGUGGGGUAAUGGCCUACCAAGGCGGAGACGGGUAGCCGGCCUGAGAGGGUGGACGGCCACAUUGGGACUGAAAUACGGCCCAGACUCCUACGGGAGGCAGCAGUGGGGAAGGUUGCACAAUGGGCGCAAGCCUGAUGCAGCGACGCCGCGUGGGGGAUAACGGCCUUCGGUUUGUAAACUCCUUUCGCUAGGGACGAAGCUUUUGUGACGGUACCUAGAUAAGAAGCACCGGCUAACUACGUG
rnacentral:rRNA from 1 species